rnacentral:tRNA from 1 species
UGAUAAUUAGUUUAAAUCAAAAUAAGUGAUUUCGACUCACUAGAUUAUGUGCCAGCAUAAUUAUCAA